AUUCCGUCGAGGAUGAAAUUGUAAUGCCAUCAUUGCUAGGCACUUGUCUGCUUCAUUCAACUCGCGACCGAUAUCAUAUUUGGACAACAUUUGCUUCAAUGACUGAGAGAGCUUUUUUAUGUCGUUGAAUGAAAAGUAACUUCUCAGCUUUGUAAAUGACAACUCGCUUUUACAACUCUUUUUAUCGAGAUCAUCAAGCCUAUCAAGACGUCGUACAAGAGACAUUCCAUCCAUUCCACCGUCUUUACCAAGAGUGACCUUCACAUUUGGCGUAUCCACUGUGACAAGGUUUCGCAGCAGAGUAUACACAUUUAUCUGUUCA
rnacentral:misc_RNA from 1 species